GAGUAGAAGAAGGAGAUGGAUAAUGGAGGAGUAAGCAUGUCUUAUGAAUUCAAAUGAUCAAUGGUCCUGAUUGGGAAACUAAAUGUUUUAUGCUCAAUUGGAAAAGGACUUCACGUUCUGGUGGUUUUUUGUCCUUCUGUUGCUUAUGCCUGACUGAGUAUGUUUGAAACUACAUGAAGUGAGUUGGGAAAGUCAUAUGUCUUACCCCUGUUGAUCCUGAAAUUGGAUUAUACCUGCACAGUUGUGGAUUAUGAAACUGUUUUACAUCAUCUAUGUGAUUUUGGAUCAACAAUAAGAUGGACACUGGGAAGAUGUGGAAUUUGUAUUCUUUGUUCUGAGAUUUCCUGGACAUUGACUUUGAGAAAGUGAUCAAUGAACUUUCAACGUGAUUAUCUUUGGCAUCUCUCCUUAGUCAUUA